rnacentral:rRNA from 1 species
UACGAAGGGGGCUAGCGUUGUUCGGAUUUACUGGGCGUAAAGCGCACGUAGGCGGAUCGUUAAGUCGGGGGUGAAAUCCUGGAGCUCAACUCCAGAACUGCCUUCGAUACUGGGCGAUCUUGAGUCCGGAAGAGGUGAGUGGAACUCCUAGUGUAGAGGUGGAAUUCGUAGAUAUUAGGGAAGAACACCAGUGGCGAAGGCGGCUCA